rnacentral:misc_RNA from 1 species
AGUUGAUUAAGAUGGUUUGGUCACAUUCAACAUAGGGCAUUGAAUGCCUCGAUACAAAUUAAAAAAGUGGGACAAGUUGGUGGUGAAAGGAGUGAGAAGGGAAAAGGGGAGACUUAAAUGAUGUGGAGGGAAGUAAUAUAAAAAAAUUUGCAAUUUUUGGAUAUUGAUAUGGAAUUGGUUUUAAACUAAGCUGAAUGUCAAAAAAAGAUCCAUAUAGCUAACCCCAAUUAGUUUGGGACUAAGGCUUAGUAAUUGUAGUCAUUGUUGUACCCUUAUAACGAUUAGGCAAUUAUACAACUUUGAACACCAUGGUGCUCUGUUUUCAUGCUUCUCUUUCUAUCUCAAUAGCAUGUAAAAUUCUGGACUCCAAGUUUAUUUCCUUUGAGCUCAAAUGUGCUUGGAAGAGUGGAGGGAGAACGAUGAAAAGGGAAACAAAAUCAAAUGAUAAGAUGUAGCAUUUGGCACUAAUUUUGUAUGAGAAAAUCAAGAAAUGAGAAAUUUAAGAUGACAGAUGGAGGCAUUAAACUAAAGUAAGUGAGAAGCAAGCAUAUUUCAGAGUAUUGAUACUUAGAACACUUUAUCUAUUUCACGGAAAAUAUUUUUGCGUAAUAUGCUUAGAUCUUAGGAGUACAUAGGGGAAUCAGUUUGUGGAAAAAUAUUCUCUCAAAGGGAAAACCAAGUUAUUUAAACAUGUAAAAUACGAAGUCAUUUCUAUACUUCUAUAGACAUGUAAAAAAUUAACCAAUCACGGAACCAGUCCACAUGGUAAUACAACAAUUAUUCCUUGUUAACAGUAAACCACUGUCAUUCAUUGCUGGUUCAACAUUGAUUAUUAUGAUUUCCUUAUUAUUUUGGUAAUUCUCUCUUAUUUUUGAGUAAACUAAAACAAGUGUAAAUAAUAGAGCCUUCAUAUUCCAAACUCCAAAAUCAACCAUUGUCAUUCAUCACUGGUCCAUCAUUGACAAUUGCAAUUUCCUUAUUUCUUGAAUAAUUCUCUCUUAUAUUCGGGUAAACUAAAACCAAGUGAAAAUGAUAGAGCCCUUAUUAGUCCAAAA